UACAGAGGGGGCAAGCGUUAUUCGGAAUUAUUGGGCGUAAAGGACGCGUAGGCGGCUUGGCAAGUGGAUGGUGAAAUCCCUCGGCUUAACCGAGGAACUGCCAUCCAGACUGCUUUGCUUGAGGCCGGGAGAGGUGAGUGGAAUUCCCAGUGGUAGCGGUGAAAUGCGUAGAUAUUGGGAGGAACACCAGUGGCGAAGGCGGCUCACUGGACCGGUUCUGGACGCUGAUGCGCGAAAGCGUGGGGAGCAAACGGG
rnacentral:rRNA from 1 species